AGGCCUUCCAGCUGCAGCACAGUCCAUGAGUCUCAGUUAGGAUGUGCGUUUUGUGUCCAAACCGAGACUCAUGGACUGUG
ensembl:miRNA eel-mir-11053 eel-mir-11053